rnacentral:misc_RNA from 1 species
AGAUUUCUCCAGUUUUAUUAUUGAGUAUUUCGCUCAGUGUUUUUCCAAAAAAAAAUAGGUAUUUUUUUUUACCUUGCAACUUUACAAAUCAGUACUAGAUAAUUUCUACAUCAUCUUCCAAAAUGACUUGUUGCGGUGAGGAAUCGGAUGGGAAUGGCCUACCCAAAGAAUCUCUUAAAGUACAAAAACAAGGAUUUACAGAUAUUCCUUGUUGCCUAAUCUUUCUUGUCUUUGUUGGAGGAAUGGGCUACAUAGCUGCACAUGCUUUUAUUAAUGGAGAUAUUUACAGACUGUACUAUGGUUAUGACAGCUAUGGAAAUACUUGUGGUCGUAAAAAUUCUAAAAUUGAGUCACUACAAAAAUUCAAUAUUUCUAACAAUGGCAGAGAUAUGACCGAUAAAACAAAAGUAUUUUUUCUUGACAUAAAGAAUUUCAAAUCUGCAAUCUCUUUAUGCGUCAAAAAGUGUCCAGAAUCAACUUUGAGCAGCAACAAGGACAUUAAAAAUUUCGCAGAAAAAGCAGAUUCAAAUCUUUGUACUUAUGAAACUGAUGUUGAUGAAUACGAAAGCCAAGCUAACGGAAAAUUAGGCCCCUGCCCUAGUUUGCCUGUACUUGCAAGCACGUCAAUCUUAAGUCGAUGUGUACCCGAUUUGCUAAAAGCAAAGAAAACUUUAGAUCAAGCCAAUAGAACAAGAUUGGGAAAUGUUCUUACCGAAUACUUUAGUGAAGUUAGCGAAUUUCUAAGAGAAAGUGUCCUAGAUUUCGUAAAAAAGUGGAAAGAAGUACUGAUUGUCUGCGCAAUUACUAUAGUUCUAGCCUUUAUUUUCGUUUUUAUAUUAAGAUUCAUUGCUUCAGUUGUAGCCUAUUUGUCUAUGAUAAUAGCUGUUGUUGGUGCUAUAGCUGGUACAUUAUUUGUAUGGUGGAAAUUUUAUGAUAUUAUAAAAAGAGAAGAAAAAUUAAAAGAUUACUCAAUCCCAUUUAUAAACUUAGACGUAUCAAAUAAAAAAGUGUUUCUUGGCCUUGGGAUAUUUUUUUCCAUUUGCACGAUCAUUUUAAUUUUAAUAGUAGUUGUUAUGUUCAAAAGGAUAAGAUUAGUGGCUGCAUUAUUUCAUGAAGCUGGAAAAGUUUUUAUGAACACUCCGACAUUGUUAUUUCAGCCUGUGUGGACUCUUCUUGUCUUGGGUGUAUAUCUCUUGUUUUGGGCAAUGAGCAUGGCUUUUCUUGUUUCAUCUGAGCCGCCAAAGUAUAGAAAUGACACAAUGACGGUUGAAUUUAAAAGAGAUACAAAGCUAACUAUUUUCUACGCUUACUAUUUUGUUGCUUUGAUAUGGAUUUGUGAAUUUAUUAUUGCCUGCCAACAAAUGGUUGUCGCUGGAACUGUAACAGAUUGGUAUUUUGAUAGAGAAAAAGAAUUUGCAACCUUUCGAGUCUUGCGAUCGACAAAAAAUCUAAUCUUAUUUCAUUUAGGAUCAGUUGCUUUUGGCUCUUUCAUCAUCUUGCUUGUCAAAUUACCUCGAGCUAUUCUUAUGUAUAUCGAUCAAAAAACCAGAGGGAAAAAAACAAAAUGUGCAGAAUUUAUGUUGAAAUGUUGCCAGUGCUGUCUCUGGUGCUUAGAAAAGGCUUUGAAAUUUUUAAAUGAGAAUGCUUACACAAUCAUCACAAUUAGGAAAACAAAUUUUUGUAAAUCAGCUUGCAUAGCUCUAAAGAUAAUUGCAUCAAACAUUUUGAGAGUUUCUGCUAUCAAUUGCGUGGGUAAUUUUAUUUUGUUUCUCGGUAAAAUCGGUAUAACUGCUAUUGGUGUUGGUGUAACUAUUGUUUGGCUAAAGUUUGUUCGUGGAGUUGAUGUGGGUUCAAGAGAUGAUCUGGAAUUAUGGGGUAUACCAGUAGUUUUUAUGUGCGUUUUUAGCUUUUUGAUAGCUCACUGCUUCUUAUCAGUCUAUGAUAUGGUAAUCGAUUCUUUACUGUUAUGUUUCUGUGAAGAUAUGCGUAUAAAUGAUGGAAGUGAAGAAAAGCCUUAUUUUAUGAAUAAAAGUCUCUUGGUAGGAACAUUUCUUGAUUUAUCUUUUUUUUUUCAGCCGAAGAUCGUUUUUUCGAAAGAUAAUAAUUACAGAAGCAUUACCAAUUUAAUUGAAAUAGGUAUUCGUUGAAGACUAUUCGCAAAAUCCACAGUUAAAUAGUUCAAUAAAUCCAAUCAGCAUCCAGAUAACAGAAAGCUGUUCAAGUCAAAUUACGUAAGAAUUGUAGGAUGUUGUUUAAAACUUUUGUGACAUUUCAUAAUCUCUAUCAAAUUAUCUGUAUCUGAAAUGAAAUUGAUCGGAGAUAAUUUGUCUUAAUCUUUCUAUGGAACAGUAAGGUCAAAAUUAGGUUGUCUUGAACUUGUAUCUGUCUUGUGUUGGACACCGAUUUUUAGGGACUUUACAUUUUACUUGAACAGGCCGUGUUUUAAGAAUAUCAAAUGACAUGACAUGAUGUAUUUUCAAACAUUCCUUGUUCUAUAUUCACAAUUGGUAAUAUUUCAAAACAAACUUUAACAGGAGGCUGUGAAUCUAGUUAACGAAACUUUAAAAAAAGAGGACGGUAUGUCUCAUUCGGAGGAUGUGGAGAUGACGGAAAAAAGCGGACUUAAAGCGGGCGAAGACAAAACAUCUUAAUAGUUUGUGUUAUUGUUAAGAAUUGUUACUUUUUUUCAAAAUUAUAGACAGAUUUUCUUUUCCCUUCCAAUCUAUAGUAUUAAUGAGUUUUAGAUAUCUUUUCAUCCUUUAACUGUUUUAAUUUAGUUUGCCUAAUUCCUAUAAUUUUUGGCUUUGAGAUUUAUAUUUUUUGAGUCUAACUUCCAAGCAAUCUAAGACUUUCAAUCAAAAUGUUGUGACUCAUAUUUUUGUGCUUAAACAUGUGCUCACUUUACCACUUUCUUUAUUCGAAUUUGACAAAUUUAUUUGUUUUGCAGAAAAUUACAAAAGCCUCAGAACAACAUAACAACUCUAACUGACCAAGCGUCAACAUUUACCUGAGCCUUUUAUUGAUGAUAUAGCUUGAUAUAGAUAAUUGUUAAGCUUUAGCAAACUAGAUCUGCUUUUAGAUGUCUUUUUUCUCGAGAUUAAAUUGGUUCAUACAAUAUAUUAUAUUUGUAUACAUGAUGUUGUAGUAUGUUUAAAGCUAUUACUAGACUUAAAACUAUUAUGCUUAAGAUUUGCAUUUUUAUAUUUGCUCUUUCAAAGUCUUAUUUCUUUACCAAAAUAUAUGAAUGAUCUGAACAUUUGUAAACUAAGUCUUCUAAGAUCUUCAAUAAACUAAAAGAACUCUUUAUCAUUGAUUUGAAGACAUUCUUUCUACGAUCCGACUCGAUUACGAAAUCUAAUUAACUAAAAAAGUUUCUCUUGAUGAUAAAGGUUUCAUAUUAGCAUAUGCGUAUUAAAAACAGACAAUAUCCUAUGAUCUUCA